rnacentral:rRNA from 1 species
CCUACGGGGAGCAGCAGUGGGGAAUAUUGGACAGUGGGCGAAAGCCUGAUCCAGCCAUGCCGCGUGUGUGAAGAAGGCCUUCGGGUUGUAAAGCACUUUCAGUGGGGAAGAAAGCCUUGGGGCUAAUACCCUCGAGGAAGGACAUCACCCACAGAAGAAGCACCGGCUAACUCCGUGCCAGCAGCCGCGGUAAUACGGAGGGUGCGAGCGUUAAUCGGAAUUACUGGGCGUAAAGCGCGCGUAGGCGGUCUGAUAAGCCGGUUGUGAAAGCCCCGGGCUCAACCUGGGAACGGCAUCCGGAACUGUCAGGCUAGAGUGCAGGAGAGGAAGGUAGAAUUCCCGGUGUAGCGGUGAAAUGCGUAGAGAUCGGGAGGAAUACCAGUGGCGAAGGCGGCCUUCUGGACUGACACUGACGCUGAGGUGCGAAAGCGUGGGUAGCAAACAGGAUUAGAUACCCGUGUAGUC